GCGCGCCGUCGAGGUCCCCGCGUCGCCGCCCUCUGCCUUUCGUAACUCGGCGCGGGGUCUGGGUUUGCAGGGCUUUGAAAACGAGCCCCCGGCGCCUUGCGCCCUCUCUUCCGGCGCUCUGGCCGCAGAUUCGGGUAGCGCCGGCCACCGUGGACCAUUUUUCUUUUUUUCCUGCUUCGCGGCGUUCCAGGAUUUUCUCUUCCGGGUCGCUCUGAGGCACGCUCUGCCUCUGGGUUUCUAUUUGGCGUCAUCCGUGUGCAGAGGCGGCUGAGAUUUCGGCAACACAACAGCCUGGCCUUGACUGCAGCUCCAUCCCCAGCUCGGUGGGUAGCUGAGCUGGCUGAGUCAUUAGAUGAUGACUUGAAAGAAAGACCAAAGACAGGUAAGCCUUUCGGGAAGCUUUUGUGAUACCUAGACUUAAAAUAAUGGAGGUCUGCUCUAAGGAAGACAGUGGUAUGAGGUUUGGAGAAACAUUAAGGGGGACAGGAGAGGACUUUGUAGUGGGGAGUUAGCAAUGGAAGUGGGUGAAGUCCUGAGGGUUGGGGCAUGAGGCAUUUCAGGCUUUGAAGGAAGAAUAAGCAAAAGGUUAAGGGAGAAACGCUGGAGUUUAUACCGGCAGCUGUGAAUAGUUGCAGAACACAAGCGCUGGGAUGAAGAGUGGGGCUGCAUUAGAGAAGGAGGGUGGAGGCCAUUGACUUUGGGAGAGACCACGGGCAGUUCUGAGCAAAAGAGAGGUGAUUGGAAAUGUGCUUCAAGAGCAUUUUUCGUGGUAAUAAAGGAUCGUAAAUGGUUCAAGACUUGAGGCCCUGGCAGAGAAGGCUCAGGAAUAAAAGACUCGUUCUUUGUAUUGUGCUAAUUAAACUGUGGCCAUUUAAUCGCUGUUCUUGGGCAGUAAUGAAUAAUUGAUUUGACCAAUAAAUUAGUGACCCGGUGAGAUGGUUUCUUCCUUUUAUCUGCUUUUCUGGCCUCGGUUGUAUUUUUUAAAGAAAAAAGCAGAUCUCAUUCUUCCAGUGUCAUAGUGCAGCAGGGCAUUACAUAAAAAUAGCCUAGGUUGAUUAAAACAUUUUUUUCAGUUCAUUUGCUCUUGCUGUGGAUGGUUUUCUGAGCACCUGUUUGACACCAGAUGUCUUAAAUCUCGUAUGACUUUGGAAGAUGACUUUUUAAUGGGCCACUUAGACACUUUCUAAAAAUGAUUGUGAUUUAGAUCAUAGGUUCCGAAAUGAACAACUGACCAACACAGUUCUUUUGGAAGAGAGUGUAGAGAUAAGCAUCCCAUCUCACAAUGAAGAUAAUAUGUGGGCAUCUGGAGUCUGUUGACUCAUUAGCAAAACUGGAUUUCUCAAGCCUCUCAGGAUGUAGGCUAUGAGUCAGACUGAAGCUAGCAGGGAAGAGAGGCCCUUGUUGGGCAUUGGGCUUGGGAGGUGCAUCUUCCCUGACGUUCUCUGUAUGUUUCCUAAGAGAUAUUGAUACAGAUUUGAUUCGUGGCUGGUCUCCCAGGAUGGUGCUCUCGGCAUGGAAUCAGGCUCUCCAUGUGGGGGUGUCCUAACUCCCAAGAAGACUGGUGAUAAAUCGCCCUAAUCCUUUUAAAAAUUGUAUUUAAAAUUUUUCUUAUUAAAUUUAUUUUUUUAUUAGGGUGUAGUUGAUUUACAGCAUUGAGUCAUUUUCUGCUGUACAGCCUAGUGACCCAGUCAUACAUAUAUGUGCAUUCUUUUUCUCUUGUCAUCUUCCAUCAUGCUCUAUCCCAAGAGACUGGAUAUAGGUCCCUGUGCUGUACAGCAGGACCUCAUGGCUUAUCCAUUGGAAAUGUAAUAGUUUGCAUCUACCAACCCAAACUCCCCGUCCAUCCCACUCCCUCCCCUUACCCCUCUGGCAACCACAAGUCUGUUCUCUAUGUCUGUGAGUCUGUUUCUGUUCUGUAGAUAAGUUCACUUGUUAAUUUCCCCUGAUCGUUUUUUAUCCUUUAUUGAAAUGAAGGCAUUUCUCUCUCUAUUAUGUGAUAAAGUUUUUCUUUCUUUUUUUCUGCAACAGUUUGGAGUAGACCUGGGGUUUGCCCCGUAAAUAAUUUCUUUUUCAGAGUUACUCAGUAGAUAGAUAGAAAUUGUUGGAGAAGUUUGGACGCAGAGAAGGGUGGCUGAUCUACUAAAGAAGAGGAGUCAGAAUUUGCUACUCAGGAGUUCCCUGAUGGCCUAGUGGGUUAAGGAGCUGAUAAUGUCACACUUGUGGUUUGGGAUCAAUCCUUGGCCAGGAAGUUCCGCAUGCUGUGGGCAUGAACAACAACAACAACAGCAAAAAAUUGGAAUUUACCACUUUUUGACAAAGCGCCUUAAUCUCACUAUUUAUUUUUCAAGUUGCUUGUGUACAGACCACUAGACGUGCAUCAGAAUCGCCUGAGAGGCUUCUAAAACAUAUAUCCUUAUAAUCAGCUCUAGCCCCAUAAGUCUGUGUUGGACUCAGCGUUUUGCAUUUUCAAAAGUUCCCUGGGGAAUUCCUGUUGUGACUCAGCAGGUGAAGAACUCAGCAUAGAAUCUGUGAGGAUAUGGGUUCCAUCCCUGACCUCGCUCAGUGGGUUAAGAUCUGGCGUUGUCAUAAGCUGUCAGGUAGAUCCACAGACUUCUAGCCCGGGAACUUCCAUAUGCCGCAGGUGUAGCUAU
rnacentral:lncRNA from 1 species